GGGUCGAUGCCCGAGUGGUUAAUGGGGGCGGACUGUAAAUCCGCUGCGUAAGCUACGUUGGUUCAAAUCCAUCUCGGCCCA
rnacentral:tRNA from 6 species